AACCUAGCACACCUGCGGUGUGUACCUGCGGAGGGAUCAUUACCGAGUGUGGUCCCAUAUAAGGGGCGCCUCCCGUCCUUUGCAGGGCCUUUAGGGGCUUUUUGACUUUGCUUCGGCGGGCUUGCCCCGCCGGAACACCCUCAAGAAAAUCUUUAUGAACCGUUUGUCUGAGUUGCUUGCGAAUAAAAACAAAACUUUUAGCAACGGAUCU
rnacentral:misc_RNA from 1 species